rnacentral:rRNA from 1 species
GAUGAACGCUGGCGGCGUGCCUAAUACAUGCAAGUCGAGCGAACAGACGAGGAGCUUGCUCCUCUGACGUUAGCGGCGGACGGGUGAGUAACACGUGGAUAACCUACCUAUAAGACUGGGAUAACUUCGGGAAACCGGAGCUAAUACCGGAUAAUAUGUUGAACCGCAUGGUUCAAUAGUGAAAGACGGUUUUGCUGUCACUUAUAGAUGGAUCCGCGCCGCAUUAGCUAGUUGGUAAGGUAACGGCUUACCAAGGCAACGAUGCGUAGCCGACCUGAGAGGGUGAUCGGCCACACGAGAACUGAGACACGGUCCAGACUCCUACGGGAGGCAGCAGUAGGGAAGCUUCCGCAAUGGGCGAAAGCCUGACGGAGCAACGCCGCGUGAGUGAUGAAGGUCUUCGGAUCGUAAAACUCUGUUAUUAGGGAAGAACAAAUGUGUAAGUAACUAUGCACGUCUUGACGGUACCUAAUCAGAAAGCCACGGCUAACUACGUGCCAGCAGCCGCAGUAA